UGGGGAAUAUUGCACAAUGGGCGGAAGCCUGAUGCAGCGACGCCGCGUGGGGGAUGAAGGCCUUCGGGUUGUAAACUCCUUUCGACAGGGAUGAAGCUUUUGUGAUGGUACCUGUAUAAGAAGCACCGGCUAACUACGUGCCAGCAGCCGCGGUAAUACGUAGGGUGCGCGCGUUGUCCGGAAUUACUGGGCGUAAAGAGCUCGUAGGUGGUUUGUCGCGUCGUCUGUGAAAUUCCGGGGCUUAACUCCGGGCGUGCAGGCGAUACGGGCUGACUUGAAUGCUGUAGGGGAGACUGGAAUUCCUGGUGUAGCGGUGAAAUGCACAGAUAUCAGGAGGAACACCGAUGGCGAAGGCAGGUCUCUGGGCAGUAACUGACGCUGAGGAGCGAAAGCAUGGGUAGCGAACAGG
rnacentral:rRNA from 1 species